ACACUUACCUGGCAGGGGAGAUUCCAUGAUCAAGAAGGUAGUUUCCCCAGGGUGAGGCUUCCCCAUUGCCCUCCGGGCGUGCUGACCCCUGCGAUUUUCCCAAAUGUGGGAAACUUGACUGCGUAAUUUAUGGUAGUGGAGGACUGCGUGCGCACUCCCCCU